GAAUGCACAUUGGCACGAAAAAUCGACAGCGUUACUUCAAAAGAAAAUGACUUAAAUUGAAGCAUACUUGGAGAGAUAAAGGAGACACAUCAAGAAGCAUAAACCACAAAUGGCAGUGCAAAAGAGAUGGUCAUUGCUUUGUGCCUGGGAAGAUAUGUGUAAACCUUUUGUUGAAGUACUGGAAUUUCAAACAUAGAUGUAUUGAAGAAUUCAGCUGUCAGUGUUUUGUAUGUUGGAGGACAACCACCCCUUGAUUUCAAAUGUGAAGUGAAGAAUGUUCAUCCUUAUAAUAAGGACUUUUCCCUUAUAUAAAUAUUCUUUGGUAAAAAUUUAUUUAAUAUCUUCUUUUGAAAGAAAAUGACUCUCAUAAUGUGUCAAUGUCACAGGACUUUAAAAUCUGCAACAGUUGUGUUGAUUACAUUAGUUUGACCUUGUGUUUCAUGAUUGUAUCAUUUCCUUCAUUAGUGUAGCAUUUAUUUGUAAAUCUGAAACCUGAAUGCUGUAUAAAACUUCUUUUAUUAAGAUAA